CCCUUAGAUGUUCUGGGCCGCACGCGCGCUACACUGACGAUGGCAACGAGUUUUUCCUUCGCCGAAAGGUGUGGGUAAUCUUUUGAAACAUCGUCGUGCUGGGGAUAGAUCAUUGCAAUUUUUGAGCUUGAACGAGGAAUUCCUAGUAAGCGCGAGUCAUCAGCUCGCGUUGAUUACGUCCCUGCCCUUUGUACACACCGCCCGUCGCUACUACCGAUUGAAUGGUUUAGUGAGGACUCCUGAUUGGCGCCGCCGCCCCGGCAACGGAGCAGCGGACUGCCGAAAAGUUGUUCAAACUUGAUCAUUUAGAGGAAGUAAAAGUCGUAACA
rnacentral:rRNA from 1 species